GUUCGUCGCCGCCGCCACCGCUGCCGGCGCAGCCGCGCAGCCCGCGCUCUUCGAGCCAUCGUCGCUGCGUGGACGAGAGGAACGCGAGCCGCCACCGCCCUCUUAUCCCUAUUCAUCCCCAUGCGGCCACCGCUUCCCUCUCCUUUGCGCUCUCCACUCCGCUAGGUGAGGUGCUCGAUCUGGUUCAGGGGCCGCCGGAAGCGAUGGUCUAGGACGCCCCACCAGUUGAUCCAGUCGCCCUUGGUCCGUCCUCCGGUGCCAGGGACACGCCGCCUUGCACGCGCUCAUUCCUGCGCUCCCUCAGCUCCUCCGUGCACCUGUCGAUCUCGCGUCCACCCCGACGGCCGGACGACCUCCCCGCAUCCCUUGCCUGUGCUCCCGCAGCCAGAUGGCCAGCUCGACGCUGCAAAGGCCAUGUUCACGUCAUCGCUUCCUCUGUACCAACGCCGCUGCCCCCAUGUGGUUCUCUGCUUGCAGUUGGGACUUUCAUGCAUUUAUUCAAGUCCCAGCUGUUCUCUGCUAGCUUGCAGUUGGUUGCCAAGGUAUCCCUCUCUAGAUGCAGGUAUUCCUCCAGUGCAUAUGGAGUGGUACAUAUCUAUGUUGUAAUUAAUCUGGCCUGUUGUUGCCAUUUCCUACGCAUCCACUAUCUUUCCCCUUCUGCGAAUCAGUCAGCUAACACAGCAUGAUAUGCACCACUUGCCAAUUGUUGUGCUUCUAUUUGGACCGUAUGGAAAUUCUUUGUUGUCUUCUCUAAGAGAAUGACAGAGUAUGUAUGAUAUACUUUUGGACAAUCUUAUGUUGGGAAUAUUGAUUGAUAUGUCAUCAAAGAUUCUCCGAACUUGGCAAUCUUGGUAUAUAUCGCAUUGAACCUUUCAGUUUGUCCAUUCAAAGGUAUUGUUAUUCGUGCAUUUGUAUCUCCAUUUUUAUUAGCUUAGGCCCUGUUUCUUUUAGCUUGAGAUUAUUAUAAUCCAGAUUAUUAGGAGUAAGCUGAAAGAAACAGACAACUUAUUGAAGUAGCUUAUUAUAAUCUCGAGCCUAGCUUAUUAUAAUCUGAUAAGCUCAUUUAGGUGAGCUUUUUUCAGAUUAUUGGGUGAAAAAUUACCCACCAUGCCACCCCACUCCUUUUUUAGACUUGCAAACCUAAUAAUCUAGGUUCUAAUAAUCUAGGAAAGAAACAACUAACCGCUUAUUCUACUACAUAUUAUAACAAUCUAGCUUAUAGUAAUCUGACUCAAUAAUCUAGAUUAUAAUAAUCUUAAGCUAAAAGAAACGGGGCCUUAGUUCCUUCAUCUCUAUAUCCAUUAUGAGACAACAAGCUUAUUCUGAGUCCAUUCUCCCAAUCCUAGGCUUAUUGAUUACAUUUUUAAGAUGUUGCAUUCGGUACCAACAAAUCAUUUCUUUAUGGUAAAAGGCUACAUCUUUAUAUGAUCUUUCUUACACAACAACCAAUACUACUGUGUCAAUCAAGGGUUAUGGAACUUACUGACAAUUACAAGGAAUGUUGCACAUCUAGCAAAAAAAAAAAUCUAUACUUCGGUUGAAGAUUUUGAUAUUAGCUAGAACUUUACUAGAUCACAAAUAUACAUAUUUAUAUUGUCUUCGUUAGGUCAGUCAGGCUCUAUGUAUAACAAGCUAAAUGGCAAUAUGUCGAGAUAUGCGCUGAAUAUAAAUGGCAGUAUCAAUACCAGAUGUAAAUGGCUAAAAUUGUUGAUAUGAAUAGUCCAUGUUUUCUUUUUUAUCUACAUUUUGGGCAUUUAGAUAGUAUUUACUUUUUUAGAAUUCUAUAUAUGUGUAGUAGGUACACUAGAGAGUAGAGACAGAUCAAGAGGUGUGAUGUCUGUAGUAGAUGCAUGCUCUUCUCAAUUGUUAUCACUAGCAGUGCUGCUUGAGAAAUCAUCAAGUUCAAUAUGUACCUUAUGGGUUAUUCUGUGUUCUUGAUACUAUCACUCUUAUUUAUGGUCUCUUUUUGUUCUCAGAUGGUGCCAAUCAAUAUUAUUAAUGGUUUAUCUUUUCUGGAAGUCCUUUGUUUGUAGGUAUCUAGAUAACCAAAACAAUUGGAGCUGAUGACAUGGGAUUCCAAAAAAUGCACAUGCUAUAUAUGUGGAGUCUAGAGAUAUGUUUUAUUUUGUUUGAUAGGAAUCUGGAGAUGUGUAUGUUCACUAGAUGAAUGUUUGUUCAUUACAUGUGCAAUCAUUAUAUUGCAAGGGCUCAGGAACAAUGAGGUGAUGUUUUAGCUAGAAAAUCAUACAUCCAUACUAGCUAAUUUAUACCU
rnacentral:sRNA from 1 species